rnacentral:lncRNA from 1 species
GGUACCAAUAUGUUUGGUAGAAUUCAGCUGUGAAUCCAUCUGGCCCUGGGCUUUUGUUGUCGUUGGCUUUUUAAAACUACCGAUUCAAUCUCAUUGCUUCUUAUUAAUCUUUUCAAGGCCCGCACGUGGAUGGUGCUUUUCCUGGGGGGAUGCAGUCGCUCUGAAGUGUUCCAGAGAGGCUGUCUAUAGGUGCACCCACACCGCCUUCCAAUGGGAAAAGCCCCAGCGGUGUCUGCAGUGGUGGAUGCGGGGGAAAAAGCCUUCUUCUCCAAGCUCCUUCAUGAGCACCAGAACUGCCUGGCAGCUGGAGAGAGCUGCAGACUUUCCCUGCUGAGCCUCGCACUACAACUGACCUUCUGCUGAAAGACACUUCCCACCAGUGGAAUGAUCUGAGACUCAAGUCCUGCUGUCCAGUUCCUUUGUCCUAUGGAGGGUUCCUUUCAUGUGGUUCACUCCCUCUUCCCCUAGGAGUCGGAGUCUCUCAGAGCCAGGUUACUGCACAUGUUGUUGCUCCUCUGAGUCUAGCUGCCUUGUGUCGCUGCCACACUCCAGGCUGGUGCUGUGGAAUGUCUUCAAGGGAUCCAGUGAUGUAACCUAUCCUUAAGUCUCCCAGUAGUGGGAACCAGCACCAGCCCUGAUGGGGUUGGCAGGGGAGUGACAUAGACUCUGUGAGAUUCCUUGGUUAUAGAUAGCCUCUGUAUAUUGGCUUUCUCAAAUGCCAGUUGUGGUAGUAAUGAACAGAUCUCAUGGAUAUACUAGGGACCUCCUGGUUAGCCAGGAUGGUGCAGGCAAUGGUGAUAGCUGAGGUCAUGCCCAUGUUUUCUCCUUCCUGGACACCGUGUUAUUCUGCCUGGAGAUGUUGUAAUGGACAGUGUUCGUUGGUCUCCAGUCAGAAGGUGGCACUUGCAAGAAAGUGCCAGCGGCAGUAGUAGCUUAGGAGGUCAAGGCUGCAGUAAGCCAUGAUUUAGCCACUACACUUCAGCCUGUGCAACAAAGACAGACCCUGUCUCAAAUAAAAAUUCAAUUCAUGCAAACUUAACAAGGAUUUACACACACUAAAUGUUUAAUGAAUUGAGUGGUACAGGUUAAUUAACUUUUUAAGCCAUUUUAUGUGUAUAGACCAAAGAUCACAAAACUAUAUUCAACUGACCACAUUUGGUACACAGGUAUUAUUCUUCCCGGUACAAUGACUUUGUUUGAUUGAAAUAAACUUUUAUGUCCCAUGUCCUAGCCUCAAAAGUGUUCAACUCAUGACCAUCUAUACCCCCACCAACUGACCUACACCCAGAUUAUUUUUGAAGCAAAUCCCAAAUAUCAUACGAUUUUAUCUGUAACUAAAAACGUAUCUCUAAAAGAUAAGAAAUUUCUUAAAACCUGUAAUCACAAUAUUAUUUUAUACUUUAAAAAUCC